GUGCAUGAGUGGUGUUUGGUUUGAUACGGGUGGUUGGCUCCCUGCUUGAGCAUGCACGGCCACGCGUGCAUUCCUCUUCAGCUGUGCGACAAGGCUUGUAUCGUCUUGGUCGUAUAAGUGGGUUUCCUGUGUUGCAUACCAGAUCAAUGGCAUCGUCUUGAUCAAAAGUGUAAUUUUCGUCCGGCGAUGCACUUGCGUUGUCGGAUGAACCACGUAGCAUUCUCUUUGGUCCAUACAGCUGACGUGCUUUCGUUGGUUGUUUGGCCCAUUGAGGGUGACUCGGUCUCUCGGAUAUGGAAGCUAAAGUGGGCAUUGGUCGCAAGAUCUAUCUCGUCCUCAUUGAGCGUUCUCACUUCUCUCACACGACCGCCUUUCACGUAUGGCACGUCUCAGCGUGUUUGGCUACGUCUAAGAGGGAUGUUGGGCGUUCUUGCUUUUCUUACACGACUGCCUUUCACGUAUGGCACGUCUCA
rnacentral:misc_RNA from 1 species